rnacentral:rRNA from 1 species
UGGGGAAUUUUGGACAAUGGGGGCAACCCUGAUCCAGCAAUGCCGCGUGUGUGAAGAAGGCCUGCGGGUUGUAAAGCACUUUAGGUGGGGAGAAAGGUGGAGGUGUUAAUAGCACGUUCAAUUGAUGUUACCCACAGAAUAAGCACCGGCUAACUCUGUGCCAGCAGCCGCGGUAAUACAGAGGGUGCAAGCGUUAAUCGGAAUUACUGGGCGUAAAGCGCAUGUAGGUGGAUAGAUAAGUUUGAUGUGAAAGCCCCAGGCUUAACCUGGGAACGGCGUUGAAUACUGACUAUCUAGAGUUUGACAGAGGGUCGUGGAAUUUCCGGUGUAGCGGUGAAAUGCGUAGAGAUCGGAAAGAACACCAGUGGCGAAGGCGGCGACCUGGGUCUAGACUGACACUGAGGUGCGAAAGCGUGGGGAGCAAACAG